rnacentral:rRNA from 1 species
UACGUAGGGGGCAAGCGUUGUCCGGAAUCAUUGGCGUAAAGCGCGUGUAGGCGGCCCGAUAAGUCCGCCGUGAAAGUCCAGGGCUCAACCCUGGAAUGCCGGUGGAUACUGCCGGGCUGGAGUCCGGAAGAGGCGAGUGGAAUUCCUGGUGUAGCGGUGAAAUGCGCAGAUAUCAGGAGGAACACCAAUGGCGAAGGCAGCUCGCUGGGACGGUACUGACACUGAGACGCGAAAGCGUGGGGAGCAAACAGG